rnacentral:rRNA from 1 species
UACGUAGGGUGCGAGCGUUAAUCGGAAUUACUGGGCGUAAAGCGUGCGCAGGCGGUUCGUUGUGUCGGUGGUGAAAGCCCCGGGCUUAACCUGGGAAUGGCCAUGGAAACUGGCGAACUGGAGUGUGGCAGAGGGGGGUGGAAUUCCGCGUGUAGCAGUGAAAUGCGUAGAGAUGCGGAGGAACACCGAUGGCGAAGGCAGCCCCCUGGGCUAGCACUGACGCUCAGGAACGAAAGCGUGGGGAGCAAACAGG